UUUCUUUUCCACUGAAACUUCCAUCCUGCAGCUCUCUAAGCCCAGGCAGCUGCCAGGCAAGAGAACUUGAUCUGACAAAUGAAUUCACACUAUUGUGAGAAUGACAUGCAGGCAGCACCUCAAAGGCCUCAGUUUCACGGUGCCACUGCAGACAGGGACCCUAAUCCUCCACGAUGCUUAGUAAUUUCUCCAUUUAAAAAGAAGAAAGUAAAUGGAUUAAACACCAGAUAUGAGGCUGCCAGGCAUUCUUAAUAAGAGAACCACCAGUUCCUUUCACUUAUUGGGGCUCAGUUUGCUUCUCUGUAAAAUGGACCUGAUAUUUCCUGCCUUCCGCUUAUGGCGCAAACUUCUCAAAGGCAUUGCAUUUCUCGGUGACUUCCAGGCGCUGCCUGUGUGUCUGCACAGUACGGAGCACAACUGGCCAAGAACGGAGUUUCUCUUCCUUCUCCCACCAUGCUGCCCCUCCUCCUCCUGCUGGGGCUUUUAUUCCCUGUGGGCCUUGCAGGCAGCACUAAAAAGGAACCUGGAAGCCAUGAGGUGUGGGAAAGUUUUCUUGACAUUUCUCCCAGAGGUGAACUGCAGAGAACUGGAAACAAAGGGUGAAAUGAUCCUUCUAAAAGCCAUACAAAGAAUCAACGACAGUUGCAUUCAUCAAAAUUCUUGCUUACAUUUCUCUGGAGAAAAGCUAAGAUUUUCUCAUUGGGUUUCUGGCUCCCCGAAUUGAUGGGAAAUGGUAGCAGACAGCACUGGAGGAAAUCUGGGCUCACCCAGAAAUCUGGGCUUAAUCAAUGAUUUCCGCCAUUCAUCCUUCUUACCAAGAGGCUCCUACAGUUCCACAUUGCUUCCAUCCCAAGUCAGAGGUACUUUUUGAAAACACAAAAGUUAAUAAAUUAAGAGAGGGGCCUUGUGCAGGCCAGUACAGAGAAUUUUUGUGAACGAAGAAAUAGAAACCCAGUCCAAUUUAAAAAUAUUACAAAUUUUUUUGGUAAUAUUUCAACAUGUAGAUAAAAUCAGAGACUGAUCCAGUGAAUAGGAGUGGACCCGUUUUCCAGCUCUAUUCUCUAGGGUAGACUUGCAGUAACAAACAACCCCCAAACCUCAGUGGCUGACAGUACUCGUCUCCCACUCAUCCUCCCAUCCUUCUAGGGUUGCCUGGGGGUGUCAUGCUCGCUCAGGGACUGGGGAGGACAGAAGCUUUGUCUCUGGGCUGCCAUGUUUGCCAAAGUUUUUGUGCACUGGCUCAGGAGGCCAGAAACAUAAGUCAAUUCCAGUCACAUUUCAUUGGCCAAGGCAAAUCUCUAGGCUGCUCCUUAUUCAAAGUGGGUGGGGAAAUGGAAUCCUACGAUGGGCCUGGUAGGCCGAGAGCCGGAAAUAUUUGGUGGGUAGCACGAAUGAUGGCCACAUCGGCUUCAGCAAAUAUUAACAUAUUGCCUUAUUUGCUUCAUGUCUUUUUACUUCGAAGAAAGUAAAUACCAGCAAAACAAUUGAGUUCCUCUCUGUACACCUCCCUCAUCCCAUUUUCUUCCCUCAUUUCCCAGAGCUAAGCACUGUUUUGAGAUCAGUGUUAAUCAUCUUCAUGCAUUUUUACUAUUUUUACUACAUUUUUUAUGUAUCACAAACAUUGCAAAGUAUUA